UUCUGGAGGUGGGCCAGUGGAAGCCUGCCUUGUUCUCAUAGACAGGAGUGUGGGGAACAGAGUGUGAAGAGAAGGGAGCAGCCUGCACUUAGGAGGAAUUUCUCCCACCUAGAGACUGAGACCAGACCACUACAGUGUGCAGCCUGCCUGAUCAGAUGACACCCCAAGACCCAGUCUGACCCUAUGCCUUUCUGUUAGCGGAAAUACAAUAACAAGAUGUGGCCCAAUUUCUCCUAAAUAUCAGCUAUAUCCAACCCAAGAAGGAGCUUGCUCAGGGAAUAAGAGAACUUGGUCCUAGGAACAGAAUGAACCAAGAAUGCAAGCAUUAAGCCUCUCCAGAGUUCUUGGGAUCCCAAAGGGAACCAAAGAUUCAAAAUGAAGAUCGAAUACUUUACUCACAAAAUAAAUGCAUUUCUAAAAGGAAGUCUAAAGGUAUAAGAAUAGAUGCUGCAUUACCCAUAUGCAUAUGGACUAUAAAAGUCUCUAUGAAGCCACCACAAGGAAAUGGCUAGAAUUGCCACAUACUCAGUUUAUAAUCAAAAAAAGGAAAUUAUGACAAGAAAAUAAAAGCCAUGUGAAUAGUAAAUGUGACAGAAAAGAUUUGAGAAGACCUCUGCCUGCAAGUCAAGAUUCCCAAAUCGUGAUGGGUGGUGCCAAAUGUCACAAAACUGCCAGGAAGGGCUGUUUUAACUACAUUCCCCAGAUUCAGAUUUCCCAGAAACUUCCAUGGCUGUGUGAGUGCUCGCUGAUUACUCUGUGCAACCAACCAAGCUCUUCGUUUUCCUGCUCAUUUUCCAAACAAGGCUGACCAUGAUUUCUGGAGUAACGCACAUGACUGUAUGUCAGCUCUCCUGAAAACUCAAAUGCCACCACAGCUAAUUUUGUCGGCUUAUUUGUUUGUUUUUGUUUUUGUUUUUGUUUUUUUCCUGAGGAUUGAACCAACACUGACCCACACACAGACAGGAAAAUAAAGUAGCAACCUCACUGUUUGGAAUCUUAGGAAGCCAAGUCUCCAAGUGUGCCACGAUGACAUCUGCUUCUAAUUGAAAUGAUUUAUCAAAGUGGCCAUCAGCGGGAACGGGUCGGUGAGUGCAUAAAUCUAGCACAAACACUUUCAGGUCUGAGCCUGGAAACCAAAGUCUGGUUUUGUUUUGGGCAUUAACAAGUCAUCGGCUGGCGGGAGGAGCCCAUGGAAAUCAAUCACUCUCUCAAACGCUCCGUCUCCCCAUCUGCACAAUGGAAUUGAUAUCAGGUAUCAAUUGCCAAUGGAUAUCUCUGGUCACAGGGAAGCUUCUCUUUCAUUCAUUUAUUCUUCCAAUAAACAUACUCAGAAAAC